rnacentral:rRNA from 1 species
UACGUAGGGUGCGAGCGUUGAUCGGAAUUACUGGGCGUAAAGCGUGCGCAGGCGGUUUUGUAAGUCCGCUGUGAAAUCCCCGGGCUUAACCUGGGAAUGGCAUUUGGGACUGCAAGGCUGGAGUGCGGCAGAGGAGACUGGAAUUCCUGGUGUAGCAGUGAAAUGCGUAGAUAUCAGGAGGAAUACCGAUGGCGAAGGCAGGGCUCUGGGCUGACACUGACGCUCAUGCACGAAAGCGUGGGGAGCAAACAGG